GAUGAACGCUGGCGGCGUGCCUAAUACAUGCAAGUCGAGCGAACGGACGAGAAGCUUGCUUCUCUGAUGUUAGCGGCGGACGGGUGAGUAACACGUGGAUAACCUACCUAUAAGACUGGGAUAACUUCGGGAAACCGGAGCUAAUACCGGAUAAUAUUUUGAACCGCAUGGUUCAAAAGUGAAAGACGGUCUUGCUGUCACUUAUAGAUGGAUCCGCGCUGCAUUAGCUAGUUGGUAAGGUAACGGCUUACCAAGGCAACGAUGCAUAGCCGACCUGAGAGGGUGAUCGGCCACACUGGAACUGAGCCACGGUCCAGACUCCUACGGGAGGCAGCAGUAGGGAAUCUUCCGCAAUGGGCGAAAGCCUGACGGAGCAACGCCGCGUGAGUGAUGAAGGUCUUCGGAUCGUAAAACUCUGUUAUUAGGGAAGAACAAAUGUGUAAGUAACUGUGCACAUCUUGACGGUACCUAAUCAGAAAGCCACGGCUAACUACGUG
rnacentral:rRNA from 1 species